rnacentral:rRNA from 1 species
GAUGAACGCUAGCUACAGGCUUAACACAUGCAAGUCGCAGGGUAACAUGAGGAAAGCUUGCUUUCCUUGAUGACGACUGGCGCACGGGUGAGUAACGCGUAUCCAACCUUCCCAUAACUACGGGAUAACCCGUUGAAAGACGGCCUAAUACCGUAUGAUAUCGUUUGCUGACAUCAAAUAACGAUUAAAGGUUUAGCGGUUAUGGAUGGGGAUGCGUCUGAUUAGCUUGUUGGCGGGGUAACGGCCCACCAAGGCGACGAUCAGUAGGGGUUCUGAGAGGAAGGUCCCCCACAUUGGAACUGAGACACGGUCCAAACUCCUACGGGAGGCAGCAGUGAGGAAUAUUGGUCAAUGGGAGAGAGCCUGAACCAGCCAAGUAGCGUGCAGGACGACGGCCCUAUGGGUUGUAAACUGCUUUUAGGUGGGGAUAAAGUGCGUGACGUGUCAUGCAUUGCAGGUACCACAUGAAUAAGGACCGGCUAAUUCCGUG